rnacentral:rRNA from 1 species
AGUGAGCGCUGGCGGCGUGCCUAACACAUGCAAGUCGUGCGCGAAAGGGGAGCAAUCCCUGAGUAAAGCGGCGAACGGGUGAGUAACACGUGGUUAACCUGCCUGGAUGUGGGGGAUACCCCGGGGAAACUCGGGCUAAUACCGACGAUGAUGUCCCUUGGGCGACGGUCCGGGGGAGCAAAGCUGGGGACCCGCAAGGGCCUAGCGCAUCCAGAGGGGACCGCGGCCGAUUAGCUAGUUGGCGGGGUAAUGGCCCACCAAGGCGACGAUCGAUAGCCGGCCUGAGAGGGUGAUCGGCCACACUGGAACUGAGACACGGUCCGGACUCCUACGGGAGGCAGCAGUGGGGAAUUUUGCGCAAUGGGCGAAAGCCUGACGCAGCAACGCCGCGUAGAGGAUGAAGGAUCUCUGAUCCGUAAACUCCUGUCGGCCGGGACGAAACGGCGGGACGCUAAUCAGUCCCGCCUUGACUGUACCGGCGGAGGAAGCCCCGGCUAACUCCGUGCCAGCAGCCGCGGU